rnacentral:piRNA from 1 species
UUAUUAUCAGUCUGACCCAAAGGAGC